AGCCUCUGUGGUGGUGGGAAGGCAGGCGGUGCACGUUUAGAUGUGGGCCAUUAUGUGGGGACCUUGCUUCAGGCAAGCACUCUUUCUGUUCUUGUGAAAUGAGUCAGAAGGGGUCAAGGUGAUUCCCUGUCAGAGGAAACCCCACGAUUUCAGGAAAGAAAGGCUUAGAGACACUCCGAGGCUGAGUGGGGGAUGGAAUCACAGUCUCGGAUAAGAUGUGGAAGGAAAGACCAUGAGGUUGGAGACAGAGUGGAUUCCGCCCUGGAGAAUGUAGAACCUGUGAUUGUGCUGUAGGUGCAUGGAUGGAUGGGAGUCCAGAAACAGGGGCCUGACUAGGCCUACCUGACCCCAUGAG
rnacentral:lncRNA from 1 species